rnacentral:rRNA from 1 species
UACGAAGGGGGCUAGCGUUGCUCGGAAUCACUGGGCGUAAAGAGCUCGUAGGCGGCUUGUCACGUCGGGUGUGAAAGCUCGGGGCUUAACCCCGGGUCUGCAUUCGAUACGGGCUGGCUGGAGUGUGGUAGGGGAGAUCGGAAUUCCUGGUGUAGCGGUGAAAUGCGCAGAUAUCAGGAGGAACACCGGUGGCGAAGGCGGAUCUCUGGGCCAUUACUGACGCUGAGGAGCGAAAGCGUGGGGAGCGAACAGG